rnacentral:rRNA from 1 species
GACGAACGCUGGCGGCGCGCCUAACACAUGCAAGUCGAACGGAGAUUGAGGAGAGCUUGCUCUUCGAUAUCUUAGUGGCGGACGGGUGAGUAACACGUGAGCAACCUGCCUUACAGAGGGGAAUAACGUUUGGAAACGAACGCUAAUACCGCAUAACGUUACGAGAGGGCAUCCUCUUGUGACCAAAGAUUUUAUCGCUGUAAGAUGGGCUCGCGGCCGAUUAGCUAGUUGGUGGGGUAACGGCCCACCGAGGCGACGAUCAGUAGCCGGUCUGAGAGGAUGAACGGCCACAUUGGGACUGAGAUACGGCCCAGACUCCUACGGGAGGCAGCAGUGGGGAAUAUUGGGCAAUGGGGGAAACCCUGACCCAGCAACGCCGCGUGAAGGAAGAAGGCCUUCGGGUU